UACGGAGGAGGCAAGCGUUAUCCGGAAUUAUUGGGCGUAAAGCGUCCGCAGGUGGUUAUUCAAGUCUGCUGUCAAAGCGCGAGGCUCAACUUCGUAAAGGCAGUGGAAACUGAAUGACUAGAGUGCGGUAGGGGUAGAGGGAAUUCCCAGUGUAGCGGUGAAAUGCGUAGAUAUUGGGAAGAACACCGGUGGCGAAGGCGCUCUACUGGACCUGCACUGACACUGAGGGACGAAAGCUAGGGGAGCGAAAGGG
rnacentral:rRNA from 1 species